AGCCACCCCUGCCUGUGCCCAGCCAGAGGACAAAGCCAGCAACAAGAGUCUUUCCUUGGCUCCCUUCCCUCUGCUGCAAACACCCCAGAGAUAACACAGUUCAAGAUGUCUGAAUGUGCCUUACGCCCCAGAGGAACUCAGACCCCACUCCUCAGGAAGCAGGCAGAAGAAGGAGCUGGAGGACGAGGAACAAAGGCUGCUGAGAGUGAAGCUUUCCUAGAGAGGACACGGGAGAAGAGCCAAUCCCUAUAUGCUUGCAGAUUCCUCCAUUUCCAAAGUGGAGCUCCCUCCACAUUGUGGCAUCUACUUAUGCAGAACCACAACGAAUUUAGGAAAUGCUCUAACAGAGUUAGGGUGUGGGUGUGAAGGAGGGAUUUCAGUGACAGCUAAAUAGACUGCAGUGGGAGCAAUAUAAAUCUCUGUAAACUUAUGAGUCAAAGAUGGGUCACUGGGAUUUGGGACUGGAUUAAGUGAUUCCCAACUCCAAGCAGAGUCCCCAGCAAUGGAACA
rnacentral:lncRNA from 1 species